GGCUGCACCUGCAGCACAUGGGUGUUCCCGGGCUAGGGAUCGAAUUGGAGCUAUAGCUUCCAGCCUACACCACAGCCACAGCAACGCCAGAUCUAAGCCGUGUCUGUGACCUACAUCACAGCUCAUAGCAACACUGGAUCCUCAACCCGCUGAGCGAGGCCAGGGAUUGAACCUGUGUCCUCAUGGAUACUAGUCAGAUUCCUUUCUGCUGAGCCACUACGGGAACUCCAAAAAAAAAAAAAUAUGUUAAGAUACAAAAUUUAAGUGAUUAUUUUCAGAGUUCCCUGGUAGUUCAGUGGGUUAAGGAUCCAGUGUUGUCACUGCUGUGGCUAGGAUGUGAUCCCUGGCCUGGGAACUUCUGCAUGCCUCGGGAGCAGGCGAAAAAUUAAAAUAAUAAAAUGACUAUACUCAAGUGAAAGAUCAUUUUGGAAAUGAUGUAAUGCCUAGCUAAUGGCAGAAAACUUUUGGUCUUAUAUUACACUUAAACAUGGAAACGCUAUAAAAUUUGGUUGUGAUGAUUGUUGUACACCUAUAAAUGUAAUAAAGUUCAUUAAGUAAUAAAAAACUGAGUCAGUACCCAAAUGCUUAGCUACCUUCAUUUCCUUUUGUGAAGAAGCCAUAGUAUGGGGGACAGAAUUCCAAAACAAGCAGAAUCCCAACAUUACAAUGGUGUAUCUUUAAAACAUGAACUCAGUACUUCCUUAUGUGUGAUAUUUCACUGCCUUUUCUCUAGCUAUUGUAAGUUUGUUACCCAAUGAACUAGGUUGAUUAUUCCAGAAUUUUUCCAAGCAAAAAGUUAAGCUGAUGAGUAUAUCCAUGGUCAUCAUCCAUCUCCCUUUUUGAAAGAAGGUUCUAAAUAUGCCCUUUUCCAGUCUUCAGGCACCUCAUCAGUCCUCCACGGGUUCUCAAAAAUGAUAUCUAGCGGUUCUGUGAUGACUUCGGCCAAUUCAUUAAGUACGCUAGGAUGCCAGCCAUUGGGACCUGUGGAUUUGAACAUAUCGGGGUUAUUUAAGUUCUCCUUUACCCAUUCUUCCCCUAGUCCAUCAUGGAUUCCUGCUCCAAAGUUUAAGUCACACUUUUCUCUUUCUGGUUACUGUCUGGAUUUUUGGAAACGAGCUUUAAAGUCUGUUUUUUAAUCCAUCAGUUUUCUCUUUGAGGCUAACAAAUGAAAAAUGUGUUUUGUUCUUCUCAAGCCUACGUCUUGUUUUUUAAAAAGGCCCCCUUGGAGUUCCCACUGGGGUGCAACAGGAUCAGCACCAUCUCUGCAGCACUGGGGCAUAAGUUUGAUCCCUGGCCCAACACAGUGGGUUAAGGAUCCAGCAUUGCCACAACUGCAGCUUAGGUCACAACCGCAGCUCAAAUCUGAUCCCUGGCCCAGGAACUUUGGUGGGGCAGCCAAAAAUUAAAAAAAAAAAAAAAAAAAAAAAAAAGCCUCCUUCUCUUUCCUUUCAUGUUUCUUAGAAGAAAAGGAAAGUUAAAAAAAAAGAAAGAAAAAGUGUAUCUUCUAAUACUUUGCCUUCCUAAGCCAUCUCCCUCAAUUCUACCCUUUGGCGGCCUUAACAUAUAGGAACAGUCAAUAUACUGUGAAGCAUUUCAAAGGCCACCUUGCUCAUGCUCAGAGGGAACACAUCUCUCUAGCUCGUGCAAGGGCUAAUUCAAAAGGCACCUUCCCAAGUUAAAAAAAAAAAAAAGACAAUCAUCUUUAAUCGCAAGCAUUUGUAUGCAUAAACAGUAACUUUUUCACAUAGGCAUUUAAAAAGCAUAGUUGUGCAUGAGUUGGAAAGAGAUGAAUAAGGCUUUCUCACCAAGCACGUAACCUAGUAGAAUUCCUCUGCUAUUGUGUGGUCAUCAGCACCAGUGUUCAGGGAUUGAUAUUACACUAACUAUCUCUAAGCUCUGAGCGGUGCUGACAGUUUUAACCCCUUCAUGGCCACUACGAUUCCUUUGAAAUUAAAAGACAGCAACAGUUUCCGGCCCAUCAGUCACAGUUAUGCCCUGGGCCAAGAAUCCCUUGACAGAUCAAGAAUGGACAAAGGAGAAGGAAAAAAGAGUGCAAAGGAAGAAUGAGGAUGCCUGGGUCUCUCCCACGAUUUUUGAUAUGACAGGCAGACUGUGCUGCUUGGAUUCAACCAUUUACUUAUUUUUUAACUGGAAAAGCUUUGGGAAAACAGCAAAUCAAUCUUGCUCUCUUUCGUUUUUGUAGUCUUAUAUGUGUUUCUCCCAGUUUUAUCUCUUGCAAAAAAAUAUCAUAUUGCAGGCACUAUGAAAAGACUUAAGAAAUAAUUCUGCGCUUUUCUCUAGGGUAUAAUAAUUUGUUUUAGCGUGUGUCAUUUUCACCCCUGCUCAAACAGCCACUUGCUGAUGGAAAUAUGUUAACUAAUAUGUCAUUAUUAAUUACUUUGGGUAAUAUCAUCUGGCAAUUGCAUCUAACUGGAUAUAAAGUAUUACUAUCCAUGCCCAGGAAGUUUCUUUCUCCAGACAAUGAAGCUAUUUGCAGGCCUUUUGUCCCCCUGUAAGACCAAGUAAUAAUAUCUUACUACUCACUAAUACACUCAAGUAGUCAGUCAUUCAAAUAAACCCAUACCCAAGCCACUGAAUGUCUCUAUGAAAAGCUAACUCAUGUUGUUAGAAGCUAUGAAAAAGUAAUUUUCAAUCUAUGUCGACAAACUAAGUUUUGAGUGUGUGUGGGGGGAUGUUACCUUAACAGGAAGAAGGUAAAACUGUUUCAUUUUUAAUGCUCUAAUAAAGGAAUGAAUGAAAAGGCACUGCAACAAAAAUUGUAUUGGCUACAUAGUGCAAGAGAACUUGCUAUUUCUUCCUGAAAAUCCAGAAAGAGCCUCAGCUUACAGCAUCAGGGUUGCUAAAAUCUUGGAAGACUACAGUCGGAUUUUG
rnacentral:tRNA from 1 species